CUGAUGAUGGGCUCUGCUCGAUAACUAUCCAAAGCAGUGCAGACCAAUGCAUGUUCAUUUUCAUCAUCUGAGUCAGAUGCCACCAGCAGAAGGUUGAUUUUCUCUUUUGAUGAUUCGGAUUCUGUAGAUUCUGAAUGGGAGUGUUGCUCUUUUAAGACUUCUGAAAGCAUGCUCCACACCCUGUCCCUCUUAGAUUUUGGAAGGCACUUCAGAUUCUUAAAUCUUGGAUAGAGUACUGUAGCUAUCUUUAGAAAUCUCAGAUUGGUUCCUUCUUUGUGUUGUCAAAUCUGCAGUGAAAGUGUUCUUAAAACGAACAACAUGCUGGGUCAUCAUCCGAGGCUGCUAUAACAGGAUAUAUGGCAGGAUGUGGGUAAAACACACAGCAGGAGACAUUCAAUUCUGCCCCAAGGAAUUCAGUC